GCAACUCUAGCCAGUCUUCAUCACGUCAGAUUUCAGGGUGAGCUAUUGUUCCUAGCUUGAACUGGAUUCUCUCUCAUUUACGUCUUGAUGCCUUGAAGUUCUGGCAUGAACUAGCCGUUCAUUUAUUUUAACUUCUUAGAUACUCUUAGAUUUAGUAAUUUGAGGAUACAUGUUCUUGUGGUGAAGACUUCCAGGUUUUGGAAUAGAAAUUGAUAAAUUUUUGAUGUUAUUUACUUGAUU
rnacentral:misc_RNA from 1 species